GACGAACGCUGGCGGCGUGCUUAACACAUGCAAGUCGAACGGAAAGGCCCUGCUUUUGUGGGGUGCUCGAGGGGCGAACGGGUGAGUAACACGUGAGUAACCUGCCCUUGACUUUGGGAUAACUUCAGGAAACUGGGGCUAAUACCGGAUAGGAGCUCCUGCUGCAUGGUGGGGGUUGGAAAGUUUCGGUGGUUGGGGAUGGACUCGCGGCCUAUCAGCUUGUUGGUGGGGUAGUGGCUUACCAAGGCUUUGACGGGUAGCCGGCCUGAGAGGGUGACCGGCUACAUUGGGACUGAGAUGCGGCCCAGACUCCUACGGGAGGCAGCGGUGGGGAAUAGUGCACAGGGGGAGGAAGCCUGAUGCAGCAACGCCGCGUGCGGGAUGACGGCCUUCGGGUUGUAAACCGCUUUCGCCUGUGACGAGGCGUGAGUGACGGUAAUGGGUAAAGAAGCACCGGCUAACUACGUG
rnacentral:rRNA from 1 species